UCUAACAUUUUCGUUCACCCCAAACGGCGACGUCGUGUCACGUUCUCGCUUUCGCUGUGCCGUCGGAGUUCGCGAAUUGAAAGGCUCCAACGACUCGCAGUCGACUGGGACUCCUUGGUCCG